GUUGAGUGUGGUGGCACCCACCUGUAGUCCCAACUACUCAGGAAGCUGAGGCAGGAGGAUCACUCGAGCCCAGAAGUUCUGGGCUGUAGUGCAUGCUGAUUGGGUGUCCAUACUAAGUUCGGCAUCAAUAUGGUGACCUCCUGGGAACAGGGAACCACCAGGUUACCUAAUAAGGGUGAACCCACCCAGAUCAGAAACAGCAGGUCAAAAUUCCCCUGCCAGUCAGUAGUGGGAUUGUGCCUGUAAAUAGCCACUGCACUCCAUUCUGGGCAAUGUAGCAAGACCCUUUUUUU
rnacentral:SRP_RNA from 1 species